UUUUUAUGAGAGUUUGAUCCUGGCUCAGGACGAACGCUGGCGGCGUGCCUAAUACAUGCAAGUCGAACGCUUCUUUUUCCACCGGAGCUUGCUCCACCGGAAAAAGAGGAGUGGCGAACGGGUGAGUAACACGUGGGUAACCUGCCCAUCAGAAGGGGAUAACACUUGGAAACAGGUGCUAAUACCGUAUAACAAUCGAAACCGCAUGGUUUUGAUUUGAAAGGCGCUUUCGGGUGUCGCUGAUGGAUGGACCCGCGGUGCAUUAGCUAGUUGGUGAGGUAACGGCUCACCAAGGCCACGAUGCAUAGCCGACCUGAGAGGGUGAUCGGCCACAUUGGGACUGAGACACGGCCCAAACUCCUACGGGAGGCAGCAGUAGGGAAUCUUCGGCAAUGGACGAAAGUCUGACCGAGCAACGCCGCGUGAGUGAAGAAGGUUUUCGGAUCGUAAAACUCUGUUGUUAGAGAAGAACAAGGAUGAGAGUAACUGUUCAUCCCUUGACGGUAUCUAACCAGAAAGCCACGGCUAACUACGUGCCAGCAGCCGCGGUAAUACGUAGGUGGCAAGCGUUGUCCGGAUUUAUUGGGCGUAAAGCGAGCGCAGGCGGUUUCUUAAGUCUGAUGUGAAAGCCCCCGGCUCAACCGGGGAGGGUCAUUGGAAACUGGGAGACUUGAGUGCAGAAGAGGAGAGUGGAAUUCCAUGUGUAGCGGUGAAAUGCGUAGAUAUAUGGAGGAACACCAGUGGCGAAGGCGGCUCUCUGGUCUGUAACUGACGCUGAGGCUCGAAAGCGUGGGGAGCAAACAGGAUUAGAUACCCUGGUAGUCCACGCCGUAAACGAUGAGUGCUAAGUGUUGGAGGGUUUCCGCCCUUCAGUGCUGCAGCUAACGCAUUAAGCACUCCGCCUGGGGAGUACGACCGCAAGGUUGAAACUCAAAGGAAUUGACGGGGGCCCGCACAAGCGGUGGAGCAUGUGGUUUAAUUCGAAGCAACGCGAAGAACCUUACCAGGUCUUGACAUCCUUUGACCACUCUAGAGAUAGAGCUUCCCCUUCGGGGGCAAAGUGACAGGUGGUGCAUGGUUGUCGUCAGCUCGUGUCGUGAGAUGUUGGGUUAAGUCCCGCAACGAGCGCAACCCUUAUUGUUAGUUGCCAUCAUUCAGUUGGGCACUCUAGCAAGACUGCCGGUGACAAACCGGAGGAAGGUGGGGAUGACGUCAAAUCAUCAUGCCCCUUAUGACCUGGGCUACACACGUGCUACAAUGGGAAGUACAACGAGUYGCGAAGUCGCGAGGCUAAGCUAAUCUCUUAAAGCUUCUCUCAGUUCGGAUUGCAGGCUGCAACUCGCCUGCAUGAAGCCGGAAUCGCUAGUAAUCGCGGAUCAGCACGCCGCGGUGAAUACGUUCCCGGGCCUUGUACACACCGCCCGUCACACCACGAGAGUUUGUAACACCCGAAGUCGGUGAGGUAACCUUUUUGGAGCCAGCCGCCUAAGGUGGGAUAGAUGAUUGGGGUGAAGUCGUAACAAGGUAGCCGUAUCGGAAGGUGCGGCUGGAUCACCUCCUUUCUAAGGAA
rnacentral:rRNA from 1 species